rnacentral:rRNA from 1 species
UACGGGGGAUGCAAGCGUUAUCCGGAUUUAUUGGGUUUAAAGGGUGCGUAGGCGGUUUGAUAAGUCAGCGGUGAAAUAUUUCAGCUUAACUGAAAGGGUGCCGUUGAUACUGGGGGUCUUGAAUUCGGUCAAGGUGGGCGGAAUGCGUGGUGUAGCGGUGAAACGCUUAGAUAUCACGCAGAACGCCGAUAGCGAAGGCAGCUCACCGGGCCGACAUUGACGCUGAGGCACGAAAGCGUGGUGAUCAAACAGGAUUAGAUACCCUGGUAGUCCACACUGUAAACGAUGAUAACUCGCUGUCGGCGAUAUAAAGUCGGUGGCCAAGCGAAAGCGAUAAGUUAUCCACCUGGGGAGUACGACCGCAAGGUUGAA